UACGAAGGGGGCAAGCGUUGUUCGGAAUUACUGGGCGUAAAGGGCGCGUAGGCGGCCGAUCAAGUCAGGCGUGAAAUUCCCGGGCUCAACCUGGGGGCUGCGCUUGAUACUGAUUGGCUUGAAUGCGGGAGAGGGUAGUGGAAUUCCCAGUGUAGAGGUGAAAUUCGUAGAUAUUGGGAAGAACACCAGUGGCGAAGGCGGCCCCCUGGUUGGAUACUGACGCUGAGACGCGAAAGCGUGGGGAGCAAACAGG
rnacentral:rRNA from 1 species